rnacentral:lncRNA from 1 species
CAUGAAUAUGUAUAUGAAUAUGAACUUGAACAUGUGCAUGAAAAUAUAUUGUAUACAUGAUAUGUACAUAAUAUAUACAUGAAUAUCAGUAUGAAAAGGAUAUGUACAUGAAUAUAUAUUAAUUGUAUAUGACUAUUAGGGAUAUAUAUAUAUCUAUGAAUUAGAUCUCUGUGCAUUACCUCAUACAGGGAAGGAUCACCAUGCCCUCCGACAGAUUAGGUGAGUAGAUCUCCAUAUCCUCAGCACAGUGAGGGCUGUUGCUGCCCCUGGAAGGACAGUUCUGGUGUCCUGCACCCAAUGAGGGGAGUACAUCCCCGUGCCUUCCACCUGAUAAGUUGCUUAGAAUCAUGUUAUCUCGACCUGAUCAGGGGAGUUAAUCCGCGUAUCCUCCAUCCGAUAAGAUCCCACUCCAGAAUGUUCCAGUUCAAACUCUAAAAUCAUGGAACUGGGACAGAUGAUAUAGCUGAAUCUAUAACAGAAUAUAUAAAGGAAAUAUAUGCCCGUGCCUUUCAGUAAGUAUGGGGAAUGGAACACCAUGCCCUCCCCUAGAUGGUGGAGAUCUCCAUCAUCUGAUAAGAGAGUAGAGUAGUUCCUCUGGAGGCUUAGGUCCCUGUGUCCUUCAGUCAUCAAAAGGCACAGAUAUCCCAUGCCCUCCACCGUUAAUACGUAGAACCACAUAUUACCCACCUGAUCAGAGAAUAUUAUUUCUGUAUAGUCCUUCUGAUGAUUUCCCAUUCCAGAUUUUUCCAGUUUUACCCAAA